rnacentral:rRNA from 1 species
AGGACGAACGCUGGCGGCGUGCUUAACACAUGCAAGUCGAGCGGAAAGGCCCUUCGGGGUACUCGAGCGGCGAACGGGUGAGUAACACGUGAGCAACCUGCCCCUGGCUCUGGGAUAGCCUCCGGAAACCGGGAUUAAUACCGGAUAUGACCACUUUAGACAUCUGCUGUGGUGGAAAGAAUUUCGGCUAGGGAUGAGCUCGCGGCCUAUCAGCUUGUUGGUGGGUAACGCCUACCAAGGCGACGACGGGUA